AGCUUAUUGAAUAUAUAUUAAGUAUUUUCUGCCCGGUGGAUUUAACGGCCGCGGUAUCUUGACCGUGCAAAGGUAGCAUAAUCAUUUGUCUAUUAAUUGUAGACUAGUAUGAAUGGAGUGACGUAGUGAAAGUUGUCUCUUUUUUAGUUAAUGAAUUUUCUUUUCAGAUGAAGAAGUCUGAAUUUAAAAAAGGGACGAGAAGACCCUAUUGAAUUUAAUAUUUAUGUAAAAUCUUUUUAUUAAUUUUUUAAAGCUAAAUAUUUAGUUGGGGCAACUGAGGAAGAAGAAAUUUUCUUUUUUUAUAUUUUGAUCCGCUUGAUUGCGAUUCUAAGAAUUAAUUACCAUAGGGAUAACAGCGUUAUUUUCUUAGAGAGUUCAUAUCGAUAAGAAAGAUUGCGACCUCGAUGUUGGACUAAAAUCUCCUAGGGGUGUAGCAUUUCCUAAGGGUGGGUCUGUUCGACCUUUAAAAUUUU
rnacentral:rRNA from 1 species